rnacentral:lncRNA from 1 species
CUCCUCCUCCUCCUCCUGGGACAAGUAUGGACUGGCAAGGCGCACCGCCAAGUCAUGGCUCUUAUAUUGUCAAGAAGAUUGUACGCAUGGAGGUUCCAGUUGAUGCUUACCCUAAUGUAUGUGUUCCUCUUAUGCGAUUUAUCAUCCAGCAGAUAAAAUGUCUUGUUUUUAAUGUCUGCUAUUUUCGCUUUGCUCCAGUUCAAUUUCGUGGGACGUAUUCUAGGACCGAGGGGUAAUUCUCUAAAGCGGGUUGAAGCAUCAACUGGUUGUCGUGUUUUCAUUAGAGGGAAGGGUUCUAUCAAAGAUGCUGAUAAGGUAACAAACGUUUGUAAAUGUUAAUUACUUUACAUUUAUAUACUCAUAUAACAUGCGUUAUAUAAAUUAAAACUAAGUAUUACAGCUAGCUAGGAUGAUAAACUUCUUUGUUAUGUUUAAUUUAAUAUCCUUUGUAGAAAUCUUGGAAAUCCUUCAUUGUACUCUUCCCUGAUUAGUAAAUCCUAACUAUCCAUUAUUGGUGUGACCAUUUCUGCCAUGGUCUAUAGUAUUUCUGAAUUCUGGUCUUCAAACUUCGUCCUAAAUUGAUCUGAAACACGAAGAAACAUGGGAAACACACAAAAAGAACUGUUUAAAAAAUUGUUUUUAUGGAGUAUUGUGUGCCUCAAGGCAGAUUUUAUAUUGCCUGCUCAUCAGUUUGCUUACCAUAUAAACCUUGUAACAAUAAUAAGUUAGUAACAUUGAGUAACGUAUUUGCUUACAUGUAUUGGACAAAUGUAUUGUUCUAGUAUUUCAAUUUUCUAUUUAUUUUUUGGGUUCAUGAUAUAUGGUGGUGAGUUUUAUUGCAUCUUUGUAGAACAUAUGUUAGUAUUUUGUACUACUAUAUUCCCAUAUGGGUUUCUAUCUUGUCUUCUGGGAAUCUGUCUUGCCCCUUAAACCCAUUAACAUGUUACAUCAAUAAUGUGAUAGUACUCUGUCUCAUAUAUUAAUCUUGAUUGCUGAAAGAUUCCAGAUUGCUCCUUGUCCAUAUUUUUUCCCCUCAUAUAUCCUCCAAAUAUACACAGUUACACAUCUUUGUUUUCUAUUUUAUAGGAGGAGAAGCUGAAAGGAAAACCUGGCUAUGAGCACCUCAAUGAUCCACUGCAUAUCUUGAUUGAAGCUGAGUUGCCAGCCAAUAUCAUUGAUACAAGAUUGAGGCAGGCACAAGAAAUAAUGGAUGAACUGCUAAAACCAGUGGUAUUAAUUUAUAUGACUUUAUGUAUUAAUUUAUUCUGAAAUUUGGAUAAUACCACUUCACAAUUUAGAAUUUAGAAAUGUGCUACCAUAAAGUCUACCAUACAGGCUAAUGGCACAAACUUUUCACCGGUUAUGUUUUUUUAUCUUUUUUUUUUUUGCAUGACUGAACUGAAAAGGAAUUUUACAUCUCCAUGCUUAUUGGAGUAGUUACAGCUAUUUGCAUCUCUGUGGUUUUGUUGACAUAAAAUUUAGAGGUACCACCCCAUACAAGUCAUGGUAACUUCACCUCUCCCUCUCAUUCGCAGCCCAGUGGCAGCACUUUUCAUUGGUCCUGAUGUCCUCAUUGUUGCAACUGGUUAGUGUGGUAUGGGUGCAGAUCUAGGCUGGAGACAGUCCUCAGCGCUAGUCGCUAGGACAGGAAUAGUUUCCUUUCUCUGAUUGUGGUUCUGCAUGUGACCCUGUGGGCAUCAAGAGGGCCAUAUAUAAUGAAAUAAAACUGAUAUCCAGUAAUAUUAAUUGGAGUUAAUGACCCUUAAGAUAUUCAAUGAUGAUCUAAAUUGUAAACUUAGUCUACUGCCAAUACUAUAUCUAGAGUGUUGCAGUACAAACUUAGUAAAUCUACCCUUUCAGGAAUAUAACAUUCACCAUAGUAACAAAACAGAUGCAACUUGAGGGCCAAAAGAGUACUAGUCAGACCUGCAGCUUUCCUCAGCUAAGGGCAUGUUUGGUUAUUUUCCUGGGAAAAUGAGCAGUGAUCUAUGCGGGAAAAUGUCUGUUUCCCCACAAAAAGAGAGAAAGAAAUAGGUCUUUGGUACUUGCCAAGAAAGCACAGAAAUGAAUCAUGUUGUAUCAAAUCAUAAAAUUAAAAUUAAGUACAAAACAAAGUUUCUUCCAUAAAUCCCAAGUCAUUACUUCCAUUCCAUGCUUCAUUGUUGUCCAUAAUGAAUAUUUUGUUGCUGCAAAUCAUUGUUAAGUGGAUGCGGUAUGUCUAUACAUCUGGCACUGUGGUACUCAUCGUCCCAAAUUGCAGUGGAUCUGCAAUGUUAAGUUUAUGAUGAAGGGCCCAAAGGUGAUGAGAAGGCAAGGGUUUAAGUUUUGGGUGCCAGCCCGAAUCCUGCUAACCUACAGACUUGGCUGCUUUCCGUUUCAUACCCCUGGACCAUUUUUUUGUUUGUGUUUCGAAGCUUAUGCAUAUGAUGCCACAGAACUAGCCUUUCUCAUGUUGUCUCACAUUGUAGCUUUGCUAUUUAUUUGAGAUAUUUUCCAACAGCUCUUCUUGAGUAGUAAUUUAUUUUUAUUUCAUAUACAAUGUUUCUUCUCCCCCUCACUUAUUCUUUCCCUAAGUUGUCAUUCUAUGAUAGUUAUUCCUGCAGUGUUUUUCUGUGAACCAUGUUCUGUAGGUUGCUUACAGCUAUGACCGCCGUUCAUAGCUGACCUCUUUUGUUCGUCUUUGCAGGAUGAGUCGCAAGAUUACUAUAAAAGACAACAGCUGAGGGAACUGGCAAUGCUGAACUCUACUCUGAGAGAGGACAGUCCUCAUCCAGGAAGCGUCUCCCCUUUCAGCAAUGGUGGCAUGAAACGUGCAAAACCGAGCCAUUAGCAAAUAUGGUUCGACCUCACCGCUUUCAUCAAGGUCAAGGAGCUCCUACACGGCUAUGCCCCUAGGCAUGCCGUCGAGCUUGAGUGGUUCGUUGUAUGGGCUAUUGUGUAAAAAACAGUAUGCCUUUUACUGGAUGAUUAGUCUGGUACCAAAUGGUUCUCUCCUCUGGAUGAGGAGAUCGAUGGUUAAAGCUGCCUCAAAUCUUUUGGCCGGUCCAGAUGUGUUGUUGUAACUUGUAAGGUUCACAUUCAUUUUGUUCUUUAUCGACUGUUAACCCUGCUAGCUUGUGAUGCUAAGAUAGGUGGUUUUCCCUUUUUUCAGGAGAGAUUAGAGAAGUCUUGGUAAUGUAAGAUUUCAGUUUAGAAGUUGAGUUAGAUUGCAUCAUAUUUGCCUGAACAUCAUGGAGUUGCAAAAUGCAGAUCAUGACCGUGUUAUGCAAUAGUUUGAUGGGAAAAAUCUUUGAAUUAACCAUGUGGAUUCAGGGCUCUCUGUAUUGCAGUGUGGUGGAUGGUUCGAAAGUUUUAUGUUUGCUUUACAAGUUACAGAGCUAUUUUAUGAAUCUUUCUGUGAUUUUAUUGUUAGAUUUACGGUAGUGUGUCUUCUAGUGUUUGACAUACCAAGAAGCACCAUAGCUUAACACAAAUAAGUGUGGCAUCUCUUGGUAUCUUCCUUUAAGGACCAUAAAAUACCUCAUAAGGCUAAUGUUAAUUUCUACAUUUUUUAAAUUCUGAAGUGUAUUGUGUUCGCCAUGAGCAAGUAAAGUUGCCUCUCAACAGGCAGCCAUUUUCUUGAAGCAAAAUAGAAAACCAUCUAGUCAAAAGGCAAUAACAGCUUUAGCAAUUCAAGAUAUAAUUUAGACAUACAUAUUUGACUUGUCUUUUUUUUUGCGGGGAACAUAUUUGACUUGUCUCAAGCUGUAUAUUUCUUUGUUGAGUCCUAAAAAAAUUAAAAAUAGCUUUGGAUUAUAAUUAUUUGAGAACACAAAUAAAUAUUUAAAUAUCAGAAAGUUGAUAAGUUGAUUUUUUUUAAAAAAAGUAUAUAUAUACAUAUACAUGUAUAUACAUAUACCUGUAAAUACAUAUACAUGUAUAUAAGAAAUGUUGAUGAAGAAAGUUCAUUUUUUUAAAAAAAAUAUAUAUUACUCCCUCCAUUCCAAAAUAUAAGGCACAACCACUCUUAAUCCAAAGACUAAGAAAUAAUUAUUAUCAUCUUGUAGUUUGGAUCAUCCUAAUAAAUAUAAUGCAUGUAUCCAAUAGAAUUAGAUAACAUGAGAGUGGAGGAUUUAAAAAAGUAAUAAUUUAAUGGAGAAGAUGCUAUAGUUAAUUGCAUGCUUGCAUGCAUGCCUUUUAUUAUGUAACAUCUAAGAAAAGUGGUUGUGUCUUAUAUUAUGGAACGGAGGGAGUAUCGUUAGAAGCUUGAGAAGUGUGCCUAUAAUCCAUAAGCUACUUAAAGAGCUUGAAAAACACAUAUCACUAAUUAUACACUCACCAAUUAAUCUUAUGGAUGUAAGCAAACGGCGUAGCCCAUAAAUCUACUAAAGAGCAUAUUCUGUCUCUAGAAAUACAGAUUCAGCUCCAAAUCUCCAAUGCAGGCAUCUGCUGGUCUUUCACCGUGGGACCACCAAAAUGUAGUAGUAUUCGAGAAGCUAGUAUAUGCAUUGAAAACCGUUGAGACAAACAAAACAACAGCAAUGUCAAUAUUAUGUAUUGAAAUUUUGAGUAUCAAUAUCUUAAUUCACAUUGGAUGUAUUAAAAAUACACCUUCAACGACAUCCAUGUAAAGAAUGCUUUCAUGGCAUUAAAAUUUGUUGGAAUGUGCAAACAAACCACCACAUAGGUAUUAGAAGUCCAAAUGGCAUUACAAACGCAUCGAAUGAACAUUCUCAUCGUUUUGAAUUACUGCUUGUUAUUUGUCGUUUUAGAUUUAUCCUAUGUCAAACAUCUAUCUCUGACCAUAAAUUAUUUUCUAAAUAAUGGAAUAUAAUUUCGGUCUUUGCUCUAAGAGCUACAGCUUAUUAUUAAAAAAUCAGUUCAUUGAUAAGCACACACAACAAACAAUUUCAUAAUGGCACCUCCAAAAGAAAACAUGAAGUGAUGCACCCACUAAUAACCACCAACACUAGACAAAAGACUUCACAAUUAUUGCACCCUAUUUGUGAAUCUCCAUCCGAAGUUGAAAAAAAUCUGCAAACCAUUGCCCCUAGGUUGCAGCAUGCAGUGUGAAUAAGUUUGAUGUCCUCAUCACUCCAUUGUAGUUACGUCCAAAACCGAAUCUAGUGCGUUGCCUCCAAAAAGUACCUACAUAUAAGAUUUAAACAGUGAUUUGUCCUACAAGAAUGAAUUUAUUGGUCCUUUUAUCAAUACCCACAAGCCAGUUUCCAAAAAUAUGAGUUGGAGUAUAUUAUACGAGGAUAUAGACCAAAAGAAGUUUGUACUGAUCUCCAGAGAAAUCUAACAAAAAGACAAUUAAUAAAUAAAUAAUAGAUUGUUUCAUUUUUAUUAAAAAACAAUAUCUUAUACUACCAUUUUAAUUUGUCCUAGCCGGAAGGACAACUCUUGAAACGCUCAGUGACUUAAAACGAAUAAAAUGAUCGAAAUUGUAUCAAAGCUGUUGUAAUUAACAAAAUAAUUAAAAACAUGUGUUUCCUCGGAAUGCGUGAUGACAGCAGCAGCUAGUGUCACCAACGCAACAUGGGACCUAGCUAUACAGUGGUAGUAUAUAUAGCUAAAGCUUAAUUGAUGGCAGGUAGGCGAUGUCGGCCGUUAGCGUGUCAGCCUUGAUUGCGUACUUACGUGCUCUCCCUCUCAGCAGUUUGUAGGUGACGAAGAAGAAGAAGCCGAUCUCUCAACAAUUGAGCACACAAACGACACACAAAAGCCGCGGCUUGAGGUUGCUCCGUUUGAGCCACAGCCCCUUGUUCCCCUUUCUCCAAGUUGCUCUUUCCUUAUCCAUGUGUUUCUGUAAAAUGGUGCCUCUGAUAUUUUGGUAAGGUAUUGUCAGAGAUAGGCAGGCAUGUGAUGGUAUAGUAGAAGUAGAUUGGUAGCUGCUGGACCAGAAAAAAGAAACAUUAAUCUUUUAGACACUAUAUUAACAUACAUGCAGAAGUUAUGUCCUAUCUCCGUUCUAAAAUAAAUUCAUUAUUUUCACCUAUUCCACACAUACUAAUAAAAAAACUAGAAUUCCCCUACUUUAUCGAAUUUCAAUACAACUAUUCCUCACUUUAUCUACUCAUAAUAUAAUUAUUUCUUAUUUCACAAACUUCGAUGUAAUAGUUACUCUAAAAAUAAAAUUAUUUUCGGACAAGCAAAAUAAAUUUAUUAUGGGACGGAGAAAGUAGGUAGGAGUAAUUUUUAAUGGGUAAACAUAUAGGGCUUAUUGGGAUUGAAGGAUUUUUUAAGGAAAAGACAGGAUCCAAUCCAAAGGAAUGAGUCCUUAUGAUUGCAGGAUUGCUUCAAAUUAAGGCAAUUUAAAGGAUAGGAAAAAUUCCUCCACAAUGUUGAUGAAUUUUAGCAUUAGGUUCAACCUCAUUAUUUCAAAUUCCUUUGAUAUUUUAAGGCAUUUUCUCUCUCCAUUAUCUCUCUAGCAAAUCAACAUAUAAUCUUAAAAUUCUUUUGUUUUUUUCUAUGGUACACCAAAUACAUGUUUUGAAUAAAUUCUGUAGCUUUCUUUCUUGUAGGAUUUUACAUGGCAUGAUAUUUUUAAUUCUAUGUUUUCUCUAUUCCUAUACUUUAAGAAUCUUACGUUCUAGAGGAAUCAUAGUAAAAAAGUUGCAUUUAAGGUUUACCCGUAGUUGUAUUACAUAAUAUCGGUUUUCUCUAUUUGUACAAGUGACAUCUGAGUAUAGUUGAAUUUUCUUUGUAGAUGGACUAGUCUAAAAAAAUACUAGUAGGUCAAUACUUUUCUUACUCUUGAUUGAUAAAACGACAUCUAAUAUUUCAUUAUAUAUAUUUUUCAUUAUUAACGGUAACAAGCAAUGGACUUAUGGCUUUCGUUUCAUCUAUUCAUCAUCCUUGUCACCGUAGCUCCAGGCAACAUGUAGUAUAUAUAUGGACUUAUGGAUAUUUUUUGCAAAGUAAUACGCAUUAAGUAGGAGUAACUGAUAGUAUGAGCUAUGUGCAACUAUAUAUUAAUUGUUGUGUAUGGUUGAUAUCAUGGUGAUAUUAAUAAUCUCACAAAUUAAUGUGGUUAUAUCAAUCUUAUGUAUACUUAGUCUUGAGAACAACUAUCAUGUAAAUACGUUCUAAAAUAGACAUUACAAUAAGCGGCUAUUAUUGCUGAUGCAAUGUACUAUUCCUGCUAAUAAUUAUAUGGUGGAAUCGUGUUAUUUUUUUAACCAUGGCUUACAAUAUGGUGUUAAACACCGCACAAAACCAAUAAUAUUUAGAGUGGGUGAUUGAUGAGAAUGAUGGUUAUAUAACGUAUUAGUUCUUUCGAUAUAGUAGUAACAAGGAUACUAAGAGUUAUACCUCUUGUUUAAACAUGAAGGUACUUUCACCAAGACCAAUGAUGAAACAUCAAUAUCAACGACACAUAGAGAUUAGUUCCAGACACACCAAAAAGCCACAUACUGACUUUUAUUCUAUGAAAUUGGCACCUAUUUUAUCCACAAUACAAUCAGAAUUUUUUUUAUUUAUAAUUUUUCUUAUUAAAAGUUUUACAAAAAUAAUUUUCCAUUUUGAAAAUUGACGGAAAUAGUCGCCUACCGCCCUCUGGGAGGGCGAUUUUUAAAAAUCGCCCUCCCAGAGGGCGGCGAAAAUGACGUGGCAGACGGCCGUUCGCUCUCGGGCGACGGCCGUCAACGAAAUUUGCAGGCGGCCCCCUUGCCGCCCUCCGCGAGGGCGAUUUUGUACUGUGCGGGGGGCCGCCUGCAAAUGGGCGGCGAGGGGGGGCAUGGAAAUUUGCAGGCGGCCCCCUUGCCGCCCUCCGCGAGGGCGAUUUUGCACUGUGCGGGGGGCCGCCUGCAAAUGGGCGGCGAGGGGGCAUGGAAUUUUGCAGGCGGCCCCCUUGCCGCCCUGGGGGAGGGCGAUUUUUGCCUCCCCCUAUAAAGCCCAGCCCCUCCCCUAUGAAAUUUCAUUAUAUUCACUAAAAAUCCAAAAAAAACGAAAGAGAGAGAGAGGGGAGGGCAGCAGAAGGGGAGCGGCGAAGCCCUGCUGGUUCGCUCACUUCAUCACAGGUAUGCUCCCAUACAUCUUUUGCAUUUGUACUAAUAUAUUACGUUUGAGUACAUAUGUUGCGUUUUAGUUUUAGUUCCAUAUAUUUUAGCAGAUCUGUAGCACACAGCACAUAUGUGUAGAUCCAGAGCAUAGAAUAUAAUAGUAUGAAUUGAGACAUAGACAGUAGUGUUAAUUGUAAGAUGUAGUUUAGUUUGAUCUGGAGAAUGUAACCUACUUUUAGAAAUUUAGAGAACAAUAUUGUAGAGAAUGUAACUUAGGGCGUAGUACAGAAAUGCGAGGUUAACGCAGUUAUUGUUUUCAUCAGGCACAAUGUCAAGUAAGGUCACAUUUCAGAUAGUUCACGGUGAAGGAAAUAUUAGAUUUGGUCCAGAUGGUGUUGAUCUGUCAGAUUUUGUAAUGACAUCUAAGGGCAUCGAUAGGCCUGCGGAGAGAACAUUUCAGUCAAUUUAUAGUUGGUUGUUGAGAGGAUUUAGAAUAGACCAAGAAGUCUACACAAUGUCAGUAUCUGUUGUAGUGAGUCGUGCAAUAGAAGGUUAUUUUUGGGAACUAAUGCCGAUGGACAGCACUGCUGCUUGGAGACGGUAUGUGGAAAUGGCUUUUGAACGGUCAUGGCCCCUCGUUAUAUUUGUGUCGGUACAAGAGAAAGAUACAAAUGUUUCAAUGCAAACCGAAGAUGUGGAGGGUCCUAGCAAUGCAGGGGAUGUUGUUGGACCAUCGAUGCAAAAUGAGGAAAAUCAACCAAGGGAGGAGCAGGCCAUGGGCAUGGCGGAUGAGGGGGAGAGAGUCGGUAUAAUUGUUGAUGAAAUGGAGAGGGAAGAUUCGGAUAAUGAGCAAGCGGAGGACGACGCAUCAUCCGAUGAGGAAGGUGAUGUAAUGGCCACUGAUUGGGCAAAUGAGGACUUCUCUGGUCUUGUUAUAUCAGAGGGUGAUCAUGUACCCUGGGAGUAUAAGGAGUACGAGGUAAUUGAGGGUGCAAGGUAUGCUCAUAAGGAUGAGAUGAAGGAGGCGGUGAAGCAUUGGGCAGUUUCAUUGCAGAGAGAGUUUAGGGUGGUCAAGUCAACAAAUUAUGUGUAUGAAGUGAGGUGCAUGAAGGAAGAUUGUCCGUGGCGUGUCCAUGCAUAUAAGGGUAAAUGGAAUGAUUAUUGGAAAGUUAGCAUUGUGACCGAGCACAAGUGCUACUUACAAGGGGUGGAGAAGUAUCACCGAAACAUCACUUCAGCUUUUGUGGCAAGUGAGAUGUACAGCAGUGUUGUUGGUAACAUUGGCUUUGAACCAAAAUCAAUUAUUAGGCACAUCGAGAACAAAUUCAAGUACACCAUAAGCUAUGCAAAGGCCUGGAGAGCCAAACAAAAGAUCAUUGAGAUGAGGUAUGGCACAUUUGAAGCUUCUUAUGAUAAUUUGCCUCGUUUGUUAGCCACCAUUGCCCAGAGGAAUAAUAAUACUUACUAUGACCUACAUACAUUUACAUCGGUUGAAGAUAGAACAAAGAGUGUGCUGCAAAGAGCCUUUUUCUCAUUGGGUGCUUGCAUCAAUGCUUUUGUGCAUUGUCGACCUGUUCUAUGCAUAGAUGGAACUUUUAUGACAGGUAAAUACCGAGGUCAGAUAUUGACAGCAAUUGGGUGUGAUGGGAACAACCAGGUUCUACCUAUGGCUUUUGCAUUUGUAGAGAGUGAGAACACUGAAAGCUGGUACUGGUUCCUAGAGAGAGUGCACAUUGCAGUGGUGCGUAUGAGGCCCAACGUUUGCCUUAUACAUGAUCGUCAUGCGGGUAUGUUGCGGGCUAUUGACUACUUGCAGAACGGUUGGGAUGAGAAGGGACUUCCAGCUAAGUGGCCUGAUGUUCGGAGUCGGUGGUGCAUGCGUCACAUGGGUGCAAAUUUCUACAAGCAAUUCAAGAACAAGCAUCUUAUGGAGCUCUUUAAGAGGCUCUGUGCACAGAACCAAGAGAAGAAAUUUAAUGAGUUGUGGGACAAGUUGGAUGAGUUGACAACGAAGCAAACAGAUGAGCAAUCUCGCAGACCACAAGUUGAAGGUGACGAGCCUCCCAUACCUCUUGGUGCAUUACUUGAUGACCCACCAACAAUGAGAAGGAGGUCAGGGUCGGCCAUCAGAAAUUUCUCUCAGUGGAUUGAGAAUGAGCCUAAGGAGAAGUGGGCUCUAUUGUUCGACACCGAUGGAUCUCGGUAUGGCAUAAUGACAACCAAUUUGGCAGAGGUGUACAACUGGGUAAUGCGAGGAGUUCGGGUACUUCCAUUGGUUGCUAUUGUUGAAUUCAUCCUUCACGGCACGCAAGCCUACUUUAGGGAUCGAUACAAGAAAAUUGGUCCGUCCAUGGCCGAUAACAACAUAGUGUUUGGCAACGUAGUGACAAAGUACAUGGAAGAUAAAAUCAAAAAGGCACGGAGACAUAGAGUUGUUGCUCAAGGCACACAAGUGCAUCGGUAUGAAAUAAUGUGUGUUGAUAGGAGCAGGCGUGGUAUCUAUCGCAAGCAAGCCGUGCAGGAAUGUGUCUUGAAGGCGGAUGGUGGAUGUACCUGCAGUUGUAUGAAGCCGAAGCUUCAUCACCUUCCUUGCUCACACGUUCUUGCUGCUGCCGGUGAUUGUGGCAUAUCUCCCAAUGUGUACGUCUCAAAUUAUUUCAGGAAAGAAGCAAUCUUUCAUACAUGGAGUGAGGAGAUAUAUGGGUUCGGGAUCUCAGGAUCUUACACAACGCUGAGUGCCCAAGUUUUUUAUAUUCCAGAUCCAUCUAAGUUUAGGGUGAAAAAGGGUCGACGCCAAACUAGACGCAUCAGAAAUGAUAUGGAUGAGUCAGAAGCAGGUGGGAGGACUUUACGCUGCAGCAAGUGUGAUCUGCGCGGCCAUACUUACAAGACAUGCCCGAAGAAUGCAGAAGUUCCAAGCGGCGCAGAUGCUAGUCCAUCUGGACAGGCAAGUGAUGGUAGGCGACCACCUGGUGAAGGAACAACAAGCAGGCGCGCAAGGCCAAGGCGUCGUCGCGCAGCAGGCGAUUCCAUGGUGUAACAAUGCUUUCGAUUUAGGAAAUAAAAUGAUGUAAUGAGUGUUCGGACUAAAUACUUCUAUCGUGUAAUUUCAAUUCAAUCUUGUUGUAAUGAGUACCUCCGACUAUUGUUGUACUAGUAGUAUUGCGAACUAUUCGGUGUUGUAUCAUAAUGUUAUCGUGAUGAGUGUUCGGACUAAACACUUUUGUUUGUUUGUACUCUUGUUUAAUAUGUGUUAGUAAUUCGCUUAUGAACAUUUAUUACUUAUGUUGAACUAAUUAUUUAUAUGUUUCUGAUCAACCUAUUUGAUGCAGGUAUGGCGUACGACACACCGGCGCUGUUGAACCGUGGGAUUGACAGGAACCACCGCUCGUUCCUGUCAGCAGUCGAGGGUGCACAGCUCGGCACCUUCCGUCCACGCACGUCGCGCGAGUGGUUGCGUGUCGACCCCCGUCACGUUCCUUGGUACGCGUAUGUUCACAUUUCAACUCAACUUUGCUUUGUUUUAUACUUAUGUUUGAAGUUUGCUCUAUACAGGUUGCGUGCGGCAGGCCUUCUACCACUUUGUAGGCUUGUUGAGGCGGCGGCGGACGACCGUGACCCAGCGAAGCGGUGGGAUGCAGACCGGUCACUCCUUGCCGCUCUUGUAGACCGCUGGAGACCUGAGACGCACACGUUCCACCUUCCCUGUGGGGAGAUGGCUCCGACACUGCAGGACGUGUCGUACCUGCUCGGGCUACCGCUGGCGGGAGCACCAGUUGGUCCCGUCGACGGUGUUUUUGGGUGGAAGGAGGAUAUCACUGCGCGCUUCGAGCAGGUGAUGCGCCUUCCACACCUAGGACCGACCACCACCCUUCCUCCGUACUCUACAGUCGGGCCUAGCAAGGCUUGGUUGCUCCAGUUCACUGUAAGUAAAUAAGUUGUUAUUAUCAUACGUGCUUAUUUGCGACCGGAUCAGUGUUUUGUACUAACAUUUCAUUCUUAACUGUAGGCGGACCUUCUGCACCCUGACGCUGAUGAUUACUCGGUCCGACGCUCCCUUGAGGCGUACCUGUUGUGGUUGUUCGGGUGGGUGAUGUUCACUAGCACCCACGGGCACGCUGUGGACUUCCGGCUGGUCCACUACGCACGGUCCAUCGCGGAUGCUCAGCCACAGGACGUGCCGCAGUGGAGCUGGGGUUCUGCCGUGCUAGCAGCCACGUACCGUGCCCUCUGUGAGGCGUGCACGAAGACUGACGCGGGAGCGAUCAUCGCUGGCUGUCCUAUGUUGCUUCAGCUUUGGGCAGCCGAGAGGUUUGCCAUAGGGCGACCAGUGGUGGACAGCGCACCCUACGGGGUUGGUCGCAGCGCGCAGUGGCCAGAGGACGGUCCCACGAUGGGGACUUACUGGUGUCGACGUGGGGUUAGUGCAACUUCGCUGCGUUAUAAGUUUAUCAGUCCUCUUCUUUUUUUUUCCUUCACAUAACAUGUCUAAUUCCGAUCAUGUUUAUUGCAGCGUCGUUACGCUCACGUCCAGGUGAGACGUGGUUACCCGGACUUCGUGUUCGAGUUUGACCGUCUCCAGCCGAGCGACGUCAUCUGGGAGCCGUACACAGAAGAGGCCGUCGCUGCGAGAGCACCGCUAGGACUUUCGUCCUUGUGCACACGCGACCAGGCUUACUGGCUCACCAUCCUGCCAAUGGUGUUCGACAUUUUCGUUGAGCCUCACUGGCCGCAGCGUGUGAUGAGACAGUUCGGACUUAGGCAGGUGUUUCCCGGCAACGUGCAGCCGACCGUCCCCCCUGCCGACCACUCGUGAGUUCGGAUUGUUCAUUUCUAAAUUUUUAUGAUAAUUACAUCAUCGAGCCAUACAAUUUACCUCUCUUCACAGGUUGACUCGACGGGGACAGCUAGCAGGCGCACUUUGGGCUCCACGUGUACAGCAAUACGUUGACGACUGGGUGUUAGCUACAGAGGAGGUGAUCAACGAGCUCUUCCCACACACGGAGGAGAACUACCGUGACUACCUUCGCUGGUACCUUCCUCGCACUCGUGCGCGUGUGACCUUCACUCCAGACGCCCCAGAGCCGCACGUUGCCGCUGUCACGGACGCGUAUCCCACGCACCGUGACCGAGACUACUUCGUGGCGGUACGUCCAAUUUGUAUUACUUCCAACAAUUAUGUCAUUUAUCUUUCAUAAUAUAGGACAACUACUGAAUUUUUUAUUUCCAUCUUGCAUAGGCUGAUGCGGCACGGGAUAUCAGUGCCGAUAUCACCGCAGUCCAGGUGAGGUUGAACAGAGGUUUGCACUUGACUGACGUUGAGCAGAGGUCGACCUUCGACUGGAUGCAGGAGAAGAUGCGUGCGGUCAUGCGCGUCUUCUCCUGUCGCAGCGCCGUGGACAUCGUACCUCCAGCUGGUCCGGUACACCCACGGCCUCGCGGUCCUACCGUCGGAGCAGGACCUCGUUUGUCUUCGAGCGCCCCUAGCUUCGGAGCAGUGCGACCUACAGCACCGGUUUCGCACGGUACAGUUCAGCCCAGAUAUUAGUUCAUUUUUGUUUCAGCUUUUGCACGAAUGUGUCACCAUGUUUUAACUGCACGUUUCCUCAUCGCAGGACCUCGUAUGCCUUCGAGCGCGUUCGCAGGCACGACCGGCGCUUCCGCGAGCUCCGCAGGGGCGUUCGCCACCUCUUUAGGCGCGUUCGCCAGCUCUUCCUCUCACGGAGCGUCGAUCCCUCGCCCACACGGUACUUUACUUUUUAUUAAUACUGUUAAAUACCUAUACGAAACUGAUGGUCCUUGUCCAGCAGGAUUUGCAGCCGGGAUCUUCGGUACUGGGGCCUCUUCGUCUCACGCCGGUAGGACUGGUCCUACUAGCCAGUUCUACGACGACGACUUGCACGGUGCAGACCACCAGGACGUACUAGGCUCCUCUCAGCUUGGAGGAGCUCCAGAGGCGCACACUCAGGAGCAGCCAGAGGUCACACCUGUACAGGCAGGACGGGUUGGCCGUGCCGUACCCCCGGACCGACUCACGUACUCCCAGGGGCACAUUAGGGCGCAGGGUAGGAGGGACAGGGGUAAGAGGCCUCGUCAGUAGUGUUCUACCUCUUCAGUCCUUAUGUGACCGUUUCUUUUGGCUUACAAACUUGUAAAGCAGUACUACUUUUGCUAUUACUACUGCAGUACUACUUGUGUUUGUCUCGUCUACGUAGUUCUUUUCAUUCGUAUGGUGCUUGAACAACUUAUGCUCACAACAACACACUUUCGGCGCUUCACGGUAGUGCCAUAUCCAGUAGCGCGCACAGUCCACAACAGCACACAUGAAAAGCGGCAGCUCGAGUUAUCACUAUCAACUUUCGGCGCUGCCUGUUGACAUAAAGUGAAUCACGCCCACGCGUGAUCGUCUUGUCACAUCUAAUGAAUAAUGUAUCUCAUUGAGUUCACAUAUAUUGCAGUGAAAACGACGCUAUAUAAUUGACAAUCUGAAGGCAACCUCUUCAUAUCUUCUUUCCCACUACCACACCACACACGAAAAUGGAAGCCUAUUAAUUGGUAAUACGUAAUCUAGAAUUGAGAUUAUGUACAACAUUCUUCACUACAAUUUUACAUUUUGGCAGCAAACCAAAUAUGAUCAAAUGCAAUUUUACCUUACCAAAUAUUUGGUAGUGCCAAAACUUGCUUAUAUUUUGGCAUUAACAAAAUAUUUGUACGGUAACAUUCCAAAUAUGCCCUAAAAAAUAAUAAAAUUGUAUUUUACCAAUCUUGGAGAUUUUAAUCUUGUAUAGUUUUCAAUAUAAAAAGAUUUGAUAACUAUUGAUAUUUAUAUAAAAAAAAUAUAGAGCACAGUACAAAAUCGCCCUCCCCCAGGGCGGCAAGGGGGCCGCCUGCAAAUUUCCAUGCCCCCCCUCGCCGCCCAUUUGCAGGCGGCCCCCCGCACAGUACAAAAUCGCCCUCGCGGAGGGCGGCAAGGGGGCCGCCUGCAAAUUUCGUUGACGGCCGUCGCCCGAGAGCGAACGGCCGUCUGCCACGUCAUUUUCGCCGCCCUCUGGGAGGGCGAUUUUUAAAAAUCGCCCUCCCAGAGGGCGGUAGGCGACUAUUUCCGUCAAUUUUCAAAAUGGAAAAUUAUUUUUGUAAAACUUUUAAUAAAAAAAAUUAUAAAUAAAAAAAAUUCAAUACAAUCACGCUUUCUUUAUCCAUGAAAAGAAAAUAAGGUGGUAAUAGUGGUGAGACCAUGGUAUCACCAUAUCUCCUACUCCCUAAAUCUAAAUCAACCUAAUGGUAAUUUGUUUUUUUUAAAAAAAAAAUCAUCCUCUAAGAUGUUUCCAACAUUUGCAGCCAUAAACAAGCAGGGGCGUAGGUAAUCCAAAAUCAGCUUGAACUUAAGCUCUAGGUUUGCCUCCAUAAUUAUAUUUAAAUCUUCAUAAACCACUAUGUAAUGUGUUAAAAAAAUUAAUAUCUCACCAGUUGAGUCCUACUCGAGUCAUAAGUCUCGACAAUUUCUGAUUUCGUCAGGGUGGACAAGUAUUUAUCCUACUCUCCAAGAUUUUUCCAAUACUAGCACAACCACAUACAUGGAUGUAUUCAGCUAUACAGAAACAGUGGUGCAGACCGUAGCCAACAAACAUGAGAUAUUUCCAAGUCACACAUAAAAAUAAACUACUGCUGAACACAACGGAUCGAAAAAGAAAGUAAGCUUUUAUUUUUGUUUCUCCAUCACACGACUAGUACUAAAAGAAGCAAUCUCCCAUGUAUUUUUUUUCUUUUUUACACCUGCAAUCCAUAUGACCAACCUGCGACUGCAAAAACUCGAUGUCAAGAUACUCACUCCUGCUGCUGGCAGACAUCAGCAGCAGUAGCAGAAAAGCAAGAAGAAUGCACGUGCACACGCACUAAACAAACAGAAGAAAAGGAAGAUAAUAAUCUUGCUGCGGUCAUCUCAUCUCAUCUCAUCUCAACCACACGCCCCAAAUCCAACGGCUUGGACCACAGCCACAGGAACGCCAGGAUGACAGCAUCCAACUCAUCCUUAAAAAACUAGUCUCUUUUUUACCCUCUACCAAGCAAACCAGAUGAGUCUAUGACCUUGGUUGAGGAGUUUAAAAUUUUAAAAAACAACUAAUAAGAAAGAGAAGCUGAAGAUUCUACAACUAAAAUUCUAAGAAACAACAAGUAAAAUAUAGAGAAGCUAAAAAUUUUACAACUACAGCUUCUCAGAAAUUAAGUAGCUUCUUAUAAACCGGGCGAAAAUCUGAACGACCUUCUACAACUAAAAUUCUAAGAAAUAACGGAUAAAAUAUAGAGAAACUAAAGAUUUUACAACUACAGUUUCUUAAAAACCGAGCAGCUUCUCAUAAACCGAGCGAAAAUCUAAAUUGUUUAGAGAAGCUUGACAGCUGAAGAUUAUAGAAGCACUUCAAACAGAACCAAAGCUUUUUGACAACAUCCAAGAAACGAAACGAAACCAGGCUUUGAAUCAAUCUUGACUCGAUUCUUUUUCCACAAGUUCUCUUCGAAUCGACCGAUUCGUUACAAUGUCAACACCACAAUGUCACAACUACAUGAGACGAGAUGAUAUUACAGAAAAUAUUACAGAUCAGUUUUUGAGUUUCUCCCAAGAUCCUAAUGCAGGAGAAGCAAAGCAUAUGUAUGUACAAAAAAUAAAAAAAGAAGAUAAUCGCAUCAGAUCAGAUUUAGAUUAACAGCAUCAUCGAAUCACAUCAAAAGGAAUGAUCCACUAAGCUUUUCACAUUAGGAUGGUUGGUGUUAUUUGUUUUUUUUUAUUUUUUUUAGUUUUUUUUUGGUGGCAUCCAUGUCGCCGGGGAGGAGGAUCAGGCGCGGCCGGUCUCCUCGACGGCGGCGGCGGCGGUGUUGAGGGCGGGGAUGCGGCCGCCGCAGCCCGACUGCUUCUUCCGCUUCCCGCCGCCGCCGCUGGCCAGGAGGGGCCACACCGGCCGGGGCACGAAAGGCGGCGGCGGCGCCGCAUGCUCGAGCUCGAUGGGCUCCUCCUUCGCUGCCGCUGUCGGUGACGGCGGCGGAAGCGGCUUCUUCUUUGGAGGCAGCAGCAGCGGCGGGAGCGGGGUGUUCUCCUUCUCCGGCAGCGGCGGCUGUGGCGGUGGUGAUGGUGGUGGUAGCGGCUUCUUCUUCGGCGGCAGCGGCGGCGGGUACAGCAGCGGCUUCUUCCUCGGCGGCAGCGGCAGCGGGAAUAGCAUCGCCUUCUUCCUCGGAGGCAGCGGCGGCGGGAACAGCAGCAGCUUCUUCUCCUCGGCCGUCGGCGGCGGCGGAGGAGGCGGUGGAGGCGGAGCGGGAGCGACGCAGCGGCGGGAGGGGAGGUUGAGGGCGGCGCCGGGGCCGCGGAGGCGGAGGCAGGCGUCGUCGUAGGCGGCGGCGGCGGCCUCGGCGGUGUCGAAGGUGCCGAGCCACACGCGCCGCCCGUUCUCCUUGGGGUCGCGGAUCUCCGCCGCCCACCUCCCCCACGGCCGCCGCCGCACGCCGGUGAACCUCCUCUCCACCUCCUGGCACCGCAGCCGCGUCCGCUUCACCACCACCCGCCUCGCCGCCACCACCUCCCCCUCCCCCUCCUCCUCACUGCUCGACGAAUCCGUCGCGUCCUCGUCGCGGAAGAUGAUCCGCACCACCCGCCUCCUCCCACCACCCUCCACCUCCCCCUCCAUCGCCAUCGCCGCGCUCCUCCUCCUCCUCCCCCCACCCAUACCCCCAACCACCUCGCCUCACCCACCAAGAAAACCACCCCCGCUCACCGCAUCCGCGCAUCCAUGGCGGCUCCCACCGCUAGGGUUAGGGUUUCCGAUCCCUUCUCCCUCUCACGAAUUGCUCGGUGGCGUGGAGAAAUUGGGAAGCAAAGCGGGAAGAGAAGGAGAGGAGAAGGGGAAAUUGGGGAAGAAGAAGACGAAGAGGCAGCUAUAUUAUAAAAGCGGAAUAGUAGAAUGGGUAGUUUGGUAAUUACGCGGCCGGGGGCACCCGCGAGGAAUCUCGU